rnacentral:misc_RNA from 1 species
GGGUGAAAACUUGUGAAAAUCUGCAAGAAAUAACUCGGGAUACAGACUUUCUACCUGUAUAGAAUACAUCAAUUUUUAAACUAAUAGCAUUAUAAAGCAUUAGCUUAGUCUGUGAGUUCACAAAUCACAACAUCGUUUUUAAGUGUGUUUUGUUAUUGUUUACGAAGCAGCUUGCUGCGCGUUGACUUGGAGACGAACGGGACAGCCGACGGCACCGUUAUACCUUAUUUAUGAAUGUGGGAAUCUUCAAUAGAGUCAACCAUAAGAACAAGGAUUCAGGCGGUAUGUACGCCGAGUGGAGCUCGCUGCCGCUGGAGGGCGGCGGGCACGGCGUGCUGGGCGCCGUGGGCGGCGCGGCCGGCGCGGGGCGCGACGUCGUGCUGGCCGUCGUGCGCCAGCUCACCUCGCACGAGCCCAGCCCGCUCACCACCGACGCCGAGGUGGAAUGGGUCCUCGAAGUGAUCCGCUUCGGUCUCUCCCUGCCUCUCCACGAGCACGAGGCGCUCCGCGACUGUGUCCGCGUGUGCUGCUCCUGGCUGUCCCCGCUGCUGCCGCCCGCGCCCCCCGCGCAGCCGCCGCCCCCCGCCGUGCCUCCACCGGUAGCUGCGGCGCCGAAGAGAUACGCUAGGAAGAUAUUAAGACACCUGCAUAACCUCUUCGUGCCACGGCCUAAUGAGACACUCACAUUCAUAUAUCAGACGGAGCUGGGCGGCGACCUCAUCGGCAAGCAGGCCGUGCUCUGCCACCGGGUUCUCCGUCUCGCUCGCACCGUCGCCGGCUCAGCUGACCUGGGCGCUGCUGAGUGGAAGUCUCUUUUACUCCUAUUGCUGGCUGCAGCAAGGGCAUUACUGUCUCCACCCGCCCCGCACCACUCGUCGGCUGAUCAGCUGUGCAGAAGAGUUUUAGCUGUGUUGCUAGAAGUGUGGCUGUUGGCGUGUCACAGAUGUUUCCCGUCACCCCCGCUGUGGCGCACGCUCCGCGAACAAUGUAUUCGCUGGCGGCACCGCGCACCACUGACGGAGCAAUGGACAAGGGUUUCACUCUGUCUUACGGCGCGUCUACUACGCCAUAUGUACGGCCCGACGUUCCCUAAGAUGCCUAUCAGUGAGGAAGACGCUAACCUGAUCCCACCAGACAUGUCUGCCGAAGCGGUCAUGCAAUCCUGGUACCGCAUACUCCACACCAUUGGAAACCCAGUGGAUCUUUGCCGGCCGCAUGUCAUCAGCCAGACUCCAGACUUUUUGCAGUACUCAGUGCUCGAGGAGGGAGCGCGCGACCCGUCGCAGCACCCGUGCCUGCAAGCGCUGCCGGCGAUCUUCCAUAAUGCCAUGCGCGGUCUCGCAGCUCAUGUCGACGCCUUCCUCGGGCGGGGCUCGGAGCGGUGGUGGGAGGCGGGAGUCAGCGGGUCCCACAUCGCCGAAGAGGGCGACACGCCCCCCGCACAUCGCCGACUUGCUAAAUCCUACAGCGUGGCUGGCAAGGCCAGGGACAAGACUGAGAAAGGUACCCCGCGGUCAUCUCUGAUCGGCCUGACCGGCGGAGGCAGCAGGCCCGCCAGCGUGGCGCCGACUACGCCUCCUAACUCUAUCGUCUCGCAAGUGUGUGAUUCGGAGAAGUCGCCGCUGACUCCGUUGCGUCCGAAAGUGAACUCGAUCUUCCAUUUGUUCGGCGAGUGGCUGUUCGAAGCGGCACUCAUUGGGACUACGCCGUCUUACAACAACCAACAGCGUGCCGACGGUACUCCACCGCCGCCAUCUUUGUCGGAUGCCACUAGCAAGCUGAACAUGGCAGCUUACCAACCAGGUCGCGCCGAAGCCCUAGGCGCUUUAUGCCGCGUACUCUGUUCAAAGCAGUGCCGCGAAGAAGUGUCAGCUCAAUACCUAGCACGUUGCUAUGCUGCUAUACAUCGCGGGCUGAGAGACCCACCUACUGCGCCCGCAGUUGUGUUAAAUGCACCUGAUAUAUUCAGAUUGGAUCUAGACGGCGUGUUAGUACUAGUUCCUGACUUCAUCACAGCAUUAGAGCACAUCCUCACAGAGCGAGAGCCGAAGCUAGAGUGUGGUUCCAUAGACAAGAGAGAACUGCGUAAGGCAGCCAUAAGCGCACUGUUGUCUCUGGUCGCUUUCCCGCACCAUUAUAAGGGCCUGCCCGUUCCGGAGUUCCCUGGAUGCAAUGAGUACGCCGGCAUGACACUAGGCGACUACGCCCGCGGGAAGAUCUCCCUAAUCUGUGUAACAGCCGUCCAAGUGGAGACCUCCGACGCGCUUGCAGUGCCUUUACUCAGCGCCCUGUAUCUGUGUGUGCGACACAACGCGCAAGUAUACACGGCGAGCAAGGCGCAUAGCGCGCCGCCCGGCUCCACUAUGUCGCAUAGCACGGAUUAUAAAGGUGCGGCCUUGGUAGUGCGAGCCACUUACCUAGUCUGCCACCGCCUCAUCUCCUCGUGGAAGGGAGACCUGCAGGUGUCGCUGGCAGCGUUGGAGCUGCUCUCUGGGCUGGCUAAGCUGCACUCUGCUAAACCAGAAGCCAUAGAGCGCAAGCGCGCCGUCCGCUGGAUCUGCGACUACAUCAGCAUCCAAUGCAGCCGGCCGCCCCCGGCGCACUCGCGCGACCUGCACUCGUGCGUCGUGGCCGCCUACUCGUGCCUCGCCUCGUGGCUGUGCCCCGCGCUGCUGGCCGACCCCGACUGCCUCGCCGCGCUCAUGGAGGUGGUGGAGCUCGGCAUCUCGGGCACCAAGAGCCAGGGCAAAUCUGGCGAGCAACCAAAGAUGAAAGACGAGAAGGAACUGAAGCCCGUUUCCAUGAGAGUGCGCGACGCCGCGGAAUCAUUGCUGAUGCUCAUUUUGGAACAGGUGGGAUCUGAAUCUCCGGGCACCGGUUGGUGCCGAUUGGAUGAAAGGUGGCUAUCGGCGUUGGGGCACGGUCGCUUGCGCCAUUACGUCGCCGAUGGCAACAUCCUUCUAUCGCUAUUGGAGGAACCGCUAGCGAAUAGCCAGGAACCUCAGCCUACACUUAUCGUGAUCAUCCGCUGCGGCUGGGGCCGCUUCGCGUGGUCCAUGAGCAACCGCGGCGCGCCGCGCUCGGGCGCGCGCGGCGGCGGCGCGGCGUGCGCGCGCCCCGUCGACAUCACCGAGCCGCCGCCGCGCCCCGCGCCCGUCUGCCGGCCCUUACCGCCCGCGCCGCCGCCGUGCGCUGUAGACAGCGCAUUCCCAAGCCUGGAAGCGGUGUUGCGCCAGCUGAACGAUCCGGAGGCGCCCACUCUGUUCAAGCUGCUUGAACAACAGGCCGCUGUCGAGAAACGCAUUCAGGAGAGCGAAAAUGACGCCGUGCCGGAAGAGUGCGUACCGCCGGAGCCAGUGACGGAGUUCCAGACGGCGCGAUUAUUCUUGUCGCACUUCGGAUACCUCAACAUCGGCGGGGAAAGAAAGGGUAUGGGACCACGUUUGGUGGCGCUUGACGACUCAGCCCCCGGUUUCGCGGCAGCUCUACGACGCGUGGACGCCUGUGGCGCACGCACAGUGCUGACGGUUCAUGUGCUCCUGGCGAAAGCCGGUCAGCGCACGGCGGCUGACAUCGUGGCUAACUCGCGCAGGCCACCGCCGGCGGCGUUCGCUAAGAUGCUACGAGGGUUAGGCAAGCCGGUCCGUGUCCGCGGCCACCCAGGCUGGACGGGCCACGUAGCCACAAGUUACGACGCGCAGCCGGAAUACUUGUCCACGCCUCCCCCCACGCCGUCCGAGGACAAGACUCCUUCCAUCUACGACGGCAGGGAACAGGUACUAUACUGGUCUGACUCCAGCAACGAGAUCGCGUUCGUCGUGCCGUCAGGACAUGAAGUUGUUGACACGGACGAUAAGAGCGACUCUAAAUCUGACACCGACGGAAACUGCUUAUCUACCAGGAGUUCAGAAAAGGCAGCAGGUUCGUGCUGGGACGUCUCAAGCAACAGUUCAGGCGCGCUGUCUUACGAACGAAGCAUCAGCGAAUCGGACAAGGCGGAGCGAGGCCGCUCCAGUCUCAACGAGAAAGUGCGCGCACUGUCUCUAGACCUUGACAAGCAACCAGGCGCUCAGCUAACUGGAAGCGGUAGACGUAAUCGUGACUUCACGACGAAGAUUCUGGUUAUCUGGUUGGAAGAUUUUGAAGAUCAUCUAAAUCUUCCAAUAGAUGACUUGCUCCGCUAUUGCGAAACCGGCCUCCCGUGGCGGCGCCACGAGGCGCACUGCAUCUGCGUGUCUCCGCGGCGCUCGGGUCUGCUCCGCGUGCACACCGUGCCGCGCGCGGCGGGCGUGCUGUGCGACGGCGCGCUGCUGUCGCCGCAGCUGCUGCCCGCGUGCCUGCGCCGCGCCGCGCGCUACCUGGCGCGGCCCAUACGACUCAACACCGACCUAUAUCAACCCCCGCACGUACGUCGCCGCCAUCUUAUCCAAGAGUUAGCGCAGCAGUUCAAGAGGGAACUCACCGAACCAGAACUAUUGGAGUCACUCUUUAAACCACCUGCCUAAACGACGACCCAAUAAAACGUAUAAGAUGGUCACCCCUUUAACGUCUGGGGAUAUGGCCUUUAUCGUCUAUCAUAGAUUAUCUACCAACGUAAAGCCUAACCAAAAAUAUAUGACUACGCGCCAUCUUGCGGAAUUUCAUUAGAACUAUUUUCUUCAUACUAAACUGAACUGUCACUCCAUACAUCAGAAUAACAGCGCCCUCCUGAUAAUAGUCAUAUACUUAUGGUCAGGCUUUACACGGUUAUCCUCAAAACCCUCGUCAGGUAUAACCUUGUCAAGGAGUUAUUGCAGUUCAUGAGGGAACUCACUGACCAGAACUAUUGGAGUCACUCUUUAAACCGCCCGCUUGAAUGCAAGAAUAGCUGUUACUAUAACCGCCCGUGUAUCGUGUGUAUGGCUUGCCACAGACAGUCUUAAAAAUU